rnacentral:lncRNA from 1 species
UCAGAACCAGCUCUGGGCUCCUAGUGCGCUCUGGGUCUCCAUCUGGUUUGGGGGCUAUUUUGAUUCACCGGAUGCAGAGCAGCCACUGAGAUCUGGGACUGGGCGGCUAGAGCGGCGGCGCCUUUAUCUACAGAAGGACAAUUUAGAAACUAACGCCAAGCCCAGAGAACAAAUAAAUAAAUUCCUCUUUCUGUUCACAGCGCUCUCUCUGCCCGUUUCUACAGGAGAAGUUCUGCUCUGUCUCACACUGCUGGUUGAGAAGUGGCUCUCGGCUACCCAAGGUGCAGACCAGAUGGGAGGGACUGGGGUAGGAAGGAGGAGAGUGGAUGCCUUGUUUUCCUUCUUUCUUU